GGACCUAGGAUAUGGACACCGUCAUCUUCCCCAUCCCACAGAUCCAGCCUGGGCCACAAAAGGCUCCUUUUGUUCCUCACAGGACUCUCGCCUCUGUGCUGUUGGAGAGAACAGGCCAUUCGAACUGAAGGUGACCUUGGAGAAAGAACAAGAAAGGUUCUGCCGAAGCCUGGCUCAUUUCCAGCCGACUGAAGAAAAGCAGGAGGUCGUAUCCGUCAACACCGGAAGUCCUCAGCUCGGCUAGAGACUGUUCCAGCUUCAGUCUGUUACCAGUGUUCUUCAGUCCCUCCUUUCCUCUGUGCCAGCACGGACAGAGCUAAGUGACAAGGGUCUGCACCACUCCAGGCCACAGUCACUCAUGCUGUUGCAGCCCGUGCAGCUGGGGAUUCGAGGUGAGAGAGCUCCUACAGAGGGGGCAUAGCCUUUGGUUCGAGUGGACAACUGUUCUUUGGAAUCUUUUCAUGCCAAAGGAAAGGAUACAACAGAGCACCAGCCACCAUGUCCACUCUCUCAGAAAGAGGAAUAUUUUGGAAGCAAAGCGUGGCCUGAGUGUCUCUCGAGAUGUGUGCUCAGCUAAACCAAGACUUCAUCCUUCAGACGUGCAGCCUCAGAGCUCUGGAGCAAGGCCUUGAAAGGCCCCACCAGUGGGAUAAAGAAAUAAUUUCUGGUGAUUUCAGUUGCCCUGUAGGUGAGGGAUCAAUAUAUCAGAAAGGACUGCUUACCAAACUUUGUACAGGAGUCUGGAAAUUUUUGACUGUGCCUCUGAAGUGUGUAACAGUUAAUAGAUAGCAGAAUGUGAGCCUGCGUGUGGAUAGGUUUCUAUGCCCUUGGGAAUCCUGUGAUAUAAAUCUGUUUUCUCUUUUUAUUAUAAGAUUUUGUCACCAGCUGCACUUGCGUUUUCAUACAGAGUAACCCCCAAAUCACACUGCAUGAAGUGUCACAAAUCAUACACAAGAUCUGUAGCCAUGCAUGACAAAGGGGCCUCGGUUCAGUGCUGAAGUUCUGCAGAAAGGUAAGUUCUGCAGAAAGGCAUUUCAUCUUAUCUCAUCAGAUCUUAUAUUUUUUCCUCAAGCCUUCAUUUCCAUUAUAUUCAUUUUCAGAGUGGCACAUGGAGGCAACAUUUUUCAAUAGUCAAUUAUCUUUGGCCGAUCUCUGGCUCUCUCCUUACUCCUUCACAAAAUACAUUCAGUAGCUGAUGCUAUGUUUCAUUCAAAUUAUUCGUUUCCGUAAUGCAGGAUUUAAAGCGUGUGCCUGAUUUUUAUUGACUAGUCUUAUUUCUUGUCACUGUCUGUUCCCUUACCAUGUCCUGAUCGACUAUUCUAAUAAAGAGUUUCUAGCAUUCUCUUUUCAAUACGUC